GAUGAACGCUGGCGGCGUGCCUAAUACAUGCAAGUCGAGCGAACGGACGAGAAGCUUGCUUCUCUGAUGUUAGCGGCGGACGGGUGAGUAACACGUGGAUAACCUACCUAUAAGACUGGGAUAACUUCGGGAAACCGGAGCUAACACCGGAUAAUAUUUUGAACCGCAGGGUUCAAAAGUGAAUGACGGUCUUGCUGUCACUUAUAGAUGGAUCCGCGCUGCAUUAGCUAGUUGGUAAGGUAACGGCUUACCAAGGCAACGAUGCAUAGCCGACCUGAGAGGGUGAUCGGCCACAAUGGAACUGAGACACGGUCCCGACUCCUACGGGAGGCAGCAGUAGGGAAUCUUCCGCAAUGGGCGAAAGCCUGACGGAGCAACGCCGCGUGAGUGAUGAAGGUCUUCGGAUCGUAAAACUCUGUUAUUAGGGAAGAACAUAUGUGUAAGUAACUGUGCACAUCUUGACGGUACCUAAGCAGAAAGCCACGGCUAACUACGU
rnacentral:rRNA from 1 species